rnacentral:rRNA from 1 species
AAUAAUUUUAAAAUUAUUAAUUAAUUUAUUAUUUUUUUAUAAAUAUUAUUUGUAAAAAAUAUUAAACUUAUAAAGUUUUUGUAUAAUUUUAUGAUAAAAUUUAAUUUAUUAUAGAAAAUUAGUAUUGUAGAAGAAUUUUAAAAUAUUUUGAAAAAUAAAAUUAAGAAAAAGUAUUAUUUAUUUUAAGUACCUUGUGUAUCAGGGUUUAUUAAAAUAAUAAUAUUUAAUUAUAUUUUUUUCGAAUUUAAAAGAUCUAAAUAUUUAUAAUUUUUAAUGUUACAUUAUUAUUUUAAAUUUAAAUUUAGUAAUGAAAUGUUAUUCGUUUUUAAAGUUAUCUAAUUUUUUAAUAAAUAGAUUUAAUUUCCAUAUUAAAUAUAAAAUAUUAAUUUUAAUUGUUUUUAUUUUUAUUUAAUAUAAAUAUUUUAAGGGAUAAGCUUUAAAAUAAAUUAUUAAAAUUUAUUAAUGUAUAUAUAUAUAUAUAAUAUAAUAUAAUAUAGUCUUAAAAAUAGAUUUUAUUAAUAAAAAUGUUUUAAUUUAUUAUUAUAUAAUAAUUAGGAAGAUUUGUUUAAUAUUUAAUUUUUUAUUAAAAUUUAAAAUUUAAUUAUUUAAUUUUAUUAAAAAUGAUAAAAUUAGUAAAUAAUAUUAAUUUAAUGAAUUAGUAAUUUUUGUUAGAUUAAUUUAAGGAAUUCGGCAAAAAUUUUAUAUUUGCUUGUUUAACAAAAACAUCGUUUUUUGAAUAUAAUUUAAAAUUUGAUCUGCUCAAUGAAUAAAAAUUUAAAUUUAAAUAGCCGCGGUAUCUUAACCGUGCGAAGGUAGCAUAAUAAUUUGUCUUUUAAUUAAAGGCUGGAAUGAAUGAUUGGACAAGAUAUAAACUGUCUUAUUUUAAUUUAAUAUUGAAUUUAAUUUUUAAGUUAAAAAGCUUAAAUAUUUUUAAAGGACGAGAAGACCCUAUAGAGUUUUAUAAUUAUUUUAAUUUAAUAUUAAAAGUUUAUAUUUAAUUAAUUAAAUUAUUUUGUUGGGGUGAUAAAAAAAUUUAAUUAACUUUUUUAUGUAUUUUUACAUUAAUUUAUGAAUUUUUGAUCCUUAAUUUUGGAUUAAUAGAUUAAAUUACCUUAGGGAUAACAGCGUAAUUUUUUUUAGAGUUCUUAUCAAUUUAAGAGAUUGCGACCUCGAUGUUGGAUUAAAAUUUAAUUUAGGUGUAGAAGUUUAAAUUUUUAGGUCUGUUCGACCUUUAAUAUUUUACAUGAUCUGAGUUCAAACCGGUGUAAGCCAGGUUGGAUUCUAUCCUUAAAAUUUUAUUAAUUUUUAGUACGAAAGGAAUAAAAUUUAAAUUUAUAAUUGUUUAAAUUUUUGAUUUAAAUUAAUCAGUUAAA